GCUCAGUGGCCGAGUGGAUAACGCGAUGGAGUUUGAAGCGAAAGGUACUGGGUUCGAGUUCCUCCCAGAGUGA
rnacentral:tRNA from 1 species